GGGAUCACUGCCCAGGUGUGGGGGAAGAAGUCAACACUGCUGCUAGACAUGAACAAGAUAAAGACCGAGAGUCCAGGAAAAUACCAGGUGGCCUGGAGAGCAGAGCUUGGAGAGAUGAGGUCAUGGGAAAUCUCAGCCACCUGGAGGUUGUGAGAAGGGCCAGAGUGCAGAGUGAGGGGUCGAUGCCGACCAAGAGCUAGCUGGGAGCAAAAUCAGGUUGGACUACGAUAUGCAUGGAAUGAAUUGAGGGUGGGGGCCAUCCAAAUUAUGCCCUAUUUUACUAUUUGUGAUCUCAUAUUUCUGCCUUUUUUACUUUUUAUUUUGACUAUGCCAAUGUAUCUCAACAAUCAGGAAUGAAUAGU